UACGGAGGGUGCAAGCGUUAUUCGGAUUUACUGGGCGUAAAGGGUGUGUAGACGGUUUACUAAGUCUGUUGUUAAAUACUCUGGCUUAACUGGAGAUCAGCGAUGGAAACUAGUAGACUAGAGGUUGGGAGAGAGAAGUGGAAUUCCCGGAGUAGCGGUAAAAUGCGUAGAUCUCGGGAGGAACACCGAUGGCGAAGGCAGCUUCUUGGCCCAUACCUGACGUUGAGACACGAAAGCGUGGGGAGCAAACAGG
rnacentral:rRNA from 1 species